AAAAAAAUGCAGCAGUUAGGAAAACAAAAUAGAAAAUUAUGAUAGAAAUUAGUCUUUAAAAUUACUGUAACAUAGGAAGCUGAAUGAUAAUAUGGUAGUUAAAAUCCUUUCAGACUAUGAUUUUGGGGAGAGGUGACUAAAGUUUGGAGAAGCAAGUGUAUUUUUAUACAUGACAGUAAUGAAAACUUUUUACUUUAUUAUCUCUCCUGUAUAUUCUUUAAGUUUUAUUUCAGGUUAACCUAUGUCAUCAAACAUUCUGUAAAAUGUGUUAGCCAAGUCCACCCAAGGUCUCUGUUGUACAGCAAGAUUAUGUCCUAGAAAUGUGACCACAGCAUGUAUAUUGUUCCCUCUCAUCUUCCUUCCUUCUGCUUUGUUUUAAUGUUUCCAUCUUACAGCAAAAAGGGGCAGGGAGUCUGCCAACAGCCUACAUAUUAGAACAGUUCUUUAAAGGAAGGAAAUGGAGGAAAUCUUAGACAAAAAUCAGGAUAAUCAUUUGAAACAUAUGAUAUUUUUACACUAGCUGUUAGAUCCAGGAUGCACCUGUUUUACUUUUAAUCAUUUGAUUUAUUUAUAAUUGCAAUUUUCUGAUCCCAAGAUUUUAUUCUUUAUAUAUCUGGUUACUUAUAUUGAUAUUUGUUUAUGUUGCACAGUGUGUGUGUGUUUGUGUUUAUAAUCACAUGUGCUUUUUAAGAUGGUGUUUAAAAGAAGUAACCCUUCCACAGCAUGUCCUCCUCACAUUCUUCCACCAGAGAAGAGGCCCCCUGAGCCCCCCGGACCUCCACCGCCGCCACCUCCACCCCCUCUGGUUGAAGGCGAUCUUUCCAGCGCCCCCCAGGAGUUGAACCCAGCCGUGACAGCCGCCUUGCUGCAACUUUUAUCCCAGCCUGAAGCAGAGCCUCCUGGCCACCUGCCACAUGAGCACCAGGCCUUGAGACCAAUGGAGUACUCCACCCGACCCCAUCCAAACAGGACUUAUGGAAACACUGAUGGGCCUGAAACAGGGUUCAGUGCCAUUGACACUGAUGAACGAAACUCUGGUCCAGCCUUGACAGAAUCCUUGGUCCAGACCCUGGUGAAGAACAGGACCUUCUCAGGCUCUGUGAGCCACCUUGGGGAGUCCAGCAGUUACCAGGGCACAGGGUCAGUGCAGUUUCCGGGGGACCAGGACCUCCGUUUUGCCAGGGUCCCCUUAGCGUUACACCCGGUGGUCGGGCAACCAUUCCUGAAGGCUGAGGGAAGCAGCAAUUCUGUGGUACAUGCAGAGACCAAAUUGCAAAACUAUGGGGAGCUGGGGCCAGGAACCACUGGGGCCAGCAGCUCAGGAGCAGGCCUUCACUGGGGGGGCCCAACUCAGUCUUCUGCUUAUGGAAAACUCUAUCGGGGGCCUACAAGAGUCCCACCAAGAGGGGGAAGAGGGAGAGGAGUUCCUUACUAACCCAGAGACUUCAGUGUCCUGAAAGAUUCCUUUCCUAUCCAUCCUUCCAUCCAGUUCUCUGAAUCUUUAAUGAAAUCAUUUGCCAGAGCGAGGUAAUCAUCUGCAUUUGGCUACUGCAAAGCUGUCCGUUGUAUUCCUUGCUCACUUGCUACUAGCAGGCGACUUACGAAAUAAUGAUGUUGGCACCAGUUCCCCCUGGAUGGGCUAUAGCCAGAACAUUUACUUCAACUCUACCUUAGUAGAUAAAAGUAGAGAAUAUGGAGAGGAUCAUUACAUUGAAAAGUAAAUGUUUUAUUAGUUCAUUGCCUGCACUUACUGAUCGGAAAAGAGAAAGAACAGUUUCAGUUUUGAUAUGGCUCAGGAGAGGCUCUUUGAUUUUUAAAGUUUUGGGGUGGGGGGUUGUGUGUGGUUUCUUUCUUUUGAAUUUUAAUUUAGGUGUUUUGGGUGUUUUUCCUUUAAAGAGAAUAGUGUUCACAAAAUUUGAGCUGCUCUUUGGCUUUUGCUAUAAGGGAAACAGAGUGGCCUGGC
rnacentral:sRNA from 1 species